CGUGAAACCUCUAUUUAUUAAAUGCUUCCAAACAUUUUCACGAUUUGCCAAUUUUGAAUUGUUGCAUUUCCGACAAGGACAGAACAUCUUACCGCUUUCUUGGGCGUGCGGUGUGAAAUCUGCUUGAUGCAUAAAUGUCUCCAGCCCUUCGAGGUAUUCUUUCGUCACUCUCCCGUUAGCAUUUCUGUGCAUAUACAUCCACCUC
rnacentral:lncRNA from 1 species